AUGAAUAGGAAAAAGCUUUGCUAAUCGGAGGGUAAAAACGACCCAGCUAUAACUAUAGAGUUUUAGAUAAGUGCAUCUUGAAAAGAGAUUAAUGAAUGGUGCUGUUUCUGCUGAUGUCUCGUGAUUUUUUUACAAAUCUGGUUCAGCACCUCUGGAAAUCGUUUUACUAUUUCUGAGUAGUUUUUUUGAGCAAUAAGAGUAUAUAGCAUUGUGCGCAUUUUUUAAGCACUGCUAUGGAAAGGCACUUUUUUGUAUCUUUCAAAUUGUUCACAAAGUUUUGUUUCUACUAUUUUUGUGCUUAUAAAGUGUCCUUAAAAGCAUUUGCAUUGUUGAUGUAAGCACUCUCAGUGUAGCUGGCCAGCAGCUCCACAGGAAGGUUGCUGAGCUGCACUGCAGUUGAUGGUGCUGUAAUUUUCAACACUGGUCCUCCUGCUGCCUUGUGCUGUGCACAGCUCCGGGGCUCACACCCACCCGUGGAGGCAGAGGUGCAGAGCUGGAGCCAAAACUCCCCAGCUGUUACCCAGGGUAGGUGAGUGGCCACGUUCUCUGGCUCCCUGGCAAGGGGCACCCGGGCUGGUGCAGUGUGCUUCUGGGUGAGAGCAGCCAGGGAAUCCUGCUUGCACCAUCUGUUUUUCUUUUCCCCCAGGACAGCUCCACUGGUGUUAGUUCCAGCCCUUUUGCUUUUGUUCAUUCAGUGUGGGUACCUCUGGGCUUUGGACUCAGCAGAGCAAUGUUUUGAGUGCAAUUUCUUCAAAGGCAUUUGAGAUUUUGUUCUCAUUUUCCUGUGCUCAUGUUCAUCACCCAGUAUCUCUCCCUAGACAGUGAAUCCAUGCUACUACUGCAGGCUGCGGAACAGCUUGCUGGGAGACAGAAGUUUAACUCUUUCUUAAGUUUGCAGCAAAAAUAACAAGCAUCAGCAAAGGUGGCACCCUGUAUUGAUUGCUUCUUGUUGCAUCUUGCUUCCUAAGCCAGUAAUGAUACAGAAAUACAGUGCUCUCAGCUGAGCACUGAAAUUUUGGCAACCUGGCUGCCUUUUCAGCUUAUGAGACCCCUCGUUGUAACUUGCUUUUUCAGUGUGUUUACUGCUUUUGUGACAGUAAAUAUUUAUGCCUUAUUUGCAAGUAAGUUAUUUUCCCCUGUGUGGACUGGUCUCAUAAUUGCACCAUUAUAUUUAUUUAAAUCAGGAAACUGAGGGACCAGAUCUCACACCCACUGCAAGCAGCUUUCUGCUUCCUUUUGGCACUGUUAAAAUGAGCAUGUGAGAGCCGAGCUUUCAUACUCUGGACAUAAACGUAGCAGAUGCUUUGAUCCUAAAAUACUGAGAGCGUACAGCUGUUGUGUUAAAUGAUGAAGCGUAUGCCCUUUGACACUUGUUAAGGUCAGGGUGCUGGGGAAAGCCCUGCAGCCACAGGGGCAGCUGAGAGCAUACAGCUGUGUUCAUUAAUCUGGAACAGAUUUGGUGCUCAUUUCCUCUCUGCCAUGCAGCAGGGUGCCUCCUGUUCUGGCAGGUUUCUCUGCCUGCAACGCAGGUGUACAAAGCAGGGAGCCAGUCUUCUCAGACACUUUUGACUGUACUUAGGUCUCGGGGAGUUGCUUUGGAAGGGAAAACAAGGCUCUUAUAGCAGCACUAAGCUUAUAGGAGAAACUAGUUAACAAACCCCAAAGAAGUCUGGUUCUGAACAAACCCCAGGUACUGUUUGAGGUGGAUGUGCUGGGGUUCUGUUUAGUCUUUCAAAACCUGUGGCUGAGGGAGGAGAUUAGGCACAAGUCUCACAAUAAAAUAAUCUGCUAUUUUCUGUGGAAGAGGAAACCUCCUGCUCUGCUCCUGCGGCAAACCACCGCCUGCUCAGCUUGGUGCAUGACCUCAAAGCCAAAGAGCUCCUCUCCUGAACAGUUUUCCUGCAGGGCAACGGUGGCUGACUGACACAUCAGGGAAACAAAGCAAAGGUACCUGGAUCACUUUGGCUUCAGGUCUGAUGGGAGAGGGAGCAGUUUUUUCAACAAGUGCAUUUUAAGAUUUACUGUUCUGGAUUUGCACAUUGAAAUGUUUUCUUAUUUCUUCUUUCUGUGCCCUUAAGCAACCAGAUAAAUCAGCUCAGAGACAGUGCGGCCAGUUUUCCUCCCAGUUAACAUUACUUUUUCCACAGCUUAAAGGAACCAAAAGUGCCAUUUCAGCAACAGAAGGGCAAAAGAGAAAUCUGGUUGUGACAGAAUACUGCAUAGAACUAAAUUGUUUUACUUCAGUGGUAUCAUUGCAGGUAAAUUUGUUUCUUACUCAAAAUAAAAUUAUAUGGGUCUUACUGGGACAGUAUAAAUUCCUGACAGAAGGUAGUGAUGAUGCAGCCAGAACAUGUGAGUUUGUUUCGUUUCUUCCUUUUUUCACUGUUAAGGUGUAGGUUAUGUACUUGUUCAAACAGCACUCCUCGUUUGGACGUGAUGGGAAUGGAAUCAUCUUUGAGGGAGAUGUUUUCCCACAGCCCAUUUGUGGCUCCUGGCUUUGCAUUCCCCCGCACAAUCAAUCAGGACGGACUCCAGACUGGAGAGGAUUUAACACUACAAGGGUUAGUUUCUCUUAGAUGUUUCUGUAAUGUGCUGGUGGGUUUUAAGCUUGUAUGGUGGAAUAGUAAGUUUGUCUAAAGUUGAGUUAUUUUUCUUUCUGAAUUAUUUUUCUUCUUCAGUUAAGAAAAUGCCCGUGAAGACUGACAAACCCAGUGUUACAUUGCGGGGGUCCGUGCACUCUGAUCUGUGUGAUCCAGUGAGUCACGGGCUGUCUAAUCUUGAAAAGUUCAAAACACUAAACUGCAAAUGGGGUGACAACAUGUGUGUAUCCCUAACAGUGUAAAGUAAUUGAUUUGCACUUGAUGCAUUUGCAUUUGAUGGCUAUUUGGUGCUCUAAGGUGCUGAGUAGGAGCUCUCUGACCAUCAGAAGUGUGUAUCUAUCUGUGGUGAAGAGAGCUAGAAAGAGAAAUUAGAGGAACAGGAACUAGUGCUACAUGCACCAUCUCUUGUGGCAGGGACUUAGUGAGGGAAAUGAGUGAGGAGCUUCAGUAACAGAUUUUGGAAUGCAUACCCCUCAUUUAAAUGCUCAAAGGUGACAUGUAUUUUAAGAGACUUGGGAAUUGAACCAGCUGUUCCCUGCAGUGGAAAACAGUGUCCUCCUACCUUUCCCAAGAUGCCAAAGAUGCAUUCAAAGCUAAAUUCCAGGUACUCAGAUGUGCUUGCACCAGCCUCUGCCAGGACUGAAGAGCUGCUGUUGGGCAGAACAGGGAUGCCGCUGUUGUGUAUCUCUUGCCUUUAACUAGCACUGGCAAGUGGGUACCCACCUGCCAGGCAGGGGCAAAGGGAAGUUAAGUUUAGCAAACAAACCUGUGCCCAAGGCUCUCUGCUGCUGAUUUGGUGCAGCACUAUAAAGCUUGUACUGCUAAAAGGAAAACUGAAUGCUUUGUCACAAGUUGUAAUGGCAGAUGUUGGUCUCCUUUCUAGUGGACUGCGGUGGACCCAAAAUUAACUGGAGCAGCAGUUUAGUUUAUGGAUUACACUAUUAGCAGCUGCUGGUGAUGUUCUGUAUAAUAUGGGGGAUGCAAAUGUAAGAAAAAGUGUCAUUGCAAUGAUGAUUUGUCUGUGCAGCAAACUUGUGCUGAGUGCUGUAAAUACAUUCAUGUUUACUGCUUUAAAAAGAAAAUUGCACAUUUUAUCUUUCAGUGGGAUUGCCUCCCCUCUUCUUCCCUUUCCAAAAAGAAAAAUCAAAGCUCUUUUAGACUGAUAGCUUCAGGUUGGGGGGAGCUUUGCCAUAUUAUAAAUAUAUAUAAAUAUAUGUAUAAAUAUACUUUUUUAAGCAUGGGAGAGGACAAAAGAAAUACUACAUUAUAGAGUACCCAGUAUAGAUCAUUAUAAUGGAAUAUGCACAAUCCAAUAAAGAUGUAGUUAAAUUUAAUAA